rnacentral:rRNA from 1 species
GAAUAGUUGUUAAAUUAAUUAUUUAAUUAAUAUUUAUAUUAUAAUUAAUCUAAAUAAUUUAAAGUUUAAUUAAUUUUUAUGAAAAAAUUUUAUUUAUUAUAGAAAAAUAGUAUUGUAAAAGAAUUUUGUUUUAAAAAAUUAAGAAAAUUUUACUUAUUGUAUCUUGUGUAUCAGAGUUGAUUAAAGAUUUUUUAUUUUUUUAAAAUUCUCGAAAUUAAAAGAGUUAAUGUAAAUUAUAUUUUUUUUUGUUAAAUAAGAAUUAAGAAUAAAAUAUUGGAAGUGAAACGUUAUUCGAUUUUGUUGAUAUCUAGUUCCUUAAUAAAUAAUUUUAAUUUAAUUUUUUUUUAUUAAUAAUUUUUAUAAAAAAUAAAUUGAUAAAAAAAUUUUAUAAUGAUAGGGUUGAGCUAAGCAUUAUAUAAAUAUAAUUAUAUCGUACUAUUUUUUAUGAUGGAAUUAAAAGUUUUUAUUUUGUAGUGAGUUAUUUCUAAGUUAAGAUGAAAUUUUAUUUUUAUAAGAGAUUUAUAUAUUUUAUUUAAGGUAAAUUUUAAAAUAAUAUAAAAUUUUUAAUAAUGAUUUAAUUAGUAAAUAAUUUAUUUUUAGUAAAGAAAUUUAUUUAUAAGAUAAGAUAAAGGAAUUCAGCAAAUAAUUUUUUACCUGUUUAUUAAAAACAUGUCUUAUUAGAAUUGGAUUUUAAGUAUAGCCUGCCCAAUGAAUUUUAUUUAAAUGGCCGCAGUAUUUUGACUGUGCAAAGGUAGCAUAAUCAUUAGUUUUUUAAUUGAAAGCUAGAAUGAAGGGUUGGAUAAAAAAAUUACUGUCUCUAUUUUAUUAUGUUGAAUUUUAUUAUUAAGUGAAAAAGCUUAAAUAUUUAAUGAAGACGAGAAGACCCUAUAGAGUUUUAUAUUUAUAAAUUUAUAAAUUUUUAGAAUAAUUAUUUUAUAAAAUAUUAAAUUUUUAAUUGGGGUGAUUGAAAAAUUUAUUGAACUUUUAUUAUUUAGAAACAUUAAUUUAUGAGAAAUUGAUCCUUUAUUUUUUAAGAUUAUAAGAAUAAAUUACCUUAGGGAUAACAGCGUUAUUUUUUUUUAGAGUUCUAAUCGAGAGAAAAGUUUGCGACCUCGAUGUUGGAUUAAAAUUUUAUUUUGGUGUAGAAGCUAAAAUUUUAAGUCUGUUCGACUUUUAAAAUUUUACAUGAUCUGAGUUUAGACCGGUGUGAGCCAGGUCGGUUUCUAUCUCUUUAUAAAAAUAAUUAUUUAGUACGAAAGGACCAAUAUUUAGUUGAUAAAAAUUUUUUUUAGAUUGAUUAAAAUUGUUGUUUUGGCAGAAAAUUGUAAUAGAUUUAGAAUCUUUUUAUAUAAGUUUUAAACUUAUAAACAA